UGGGGAAUAUUGCACAAUGGAGGGAACUCUGAUGCAGCGACGCCGCGUGAACGAAGAAGGCUUUCGAGUCGUAAAGUUCUUUUAUAUGGGAAGAUAAUGACGGUACCAUAAGAAAAAGCCCCGGCUAACUACGUCCAGCAGCCGCGGUAAUACGUAGGGGGCUAGCGUUGUCCGGAAUCACUGGGCGUAAAGGGUUCGCAGGCGGAAAUGCAAGUCAGGUGUAAAAGGCAGUAGCUUAACUACUGUAAGCAUUUGAAACUGCAUAUCUUGAGAAGAGUAGAGGUAAGUGGAAUUUUUAGUGUAGCGGUGAAAUGCGUAGAUAUUAAAAAGAAUACCGGUGGCGAAGGCGACUUACUGGGCUCAUUCUGACGCUGAGGAACGAAAGCGUGGGUAGCAAACAGG
rnacentral:rRNA from 1 species